UACGGGGGGGGCAAGCGUUGUCCGGAAUUACUGGGCGUAAAGGGCUCGUAGGCGGCCAACUAAGUCCGACGUGAAAUCCCCAGGCUUAACCUGGGAACUGCGUCGGAUACUGGAUGGCUUGAAUUCGGGAGAGGGAUGCAGAAUUCCAGGUGUAGCGGUGAAAUGCGUAGAUAUCUGGAGGAAUACCGGUGGCGAAGGCAGCAUCCUGGACCGACAUUGACGCUGAUGAGCGAAAGCUAGGGGAGCAAACGGG
rnacentral:rRNA from 1 species